rnacentral:rRNA from 1 species
UAAACGGCGGCCGUAACUAUAACGGUCCUAAGGUAGCGAAAUUCCUUGUCGGGUAAGUUCCGACCUGCACGAAUGGCGUAAUGAUGGCCAGGCUGUCUCCACCCGAGACUCAGUGAAAUUGAACUCGCUGUGAAGAUGCAGUGUACCCGCGGCAAGACGGAAAGACCCCGUGAACCUUUACUAUAGCUUGACACUGAACAUUGAGCCUUGAUGUGUAGGAUAGGUGGGAGGCUUUGAAGCGUGGACGCCAGUCUGCGUGGAGCCAACCUUGAAAUACCACCCUUUAAUGUUUGAUGUUCUAACGUUGGCCCCUGACCGGGGUUGCGGACAGUGUCUGGUGGGUAGUUUGACUGGGGCGGUCUCCUCCCAAAGCGUAACGGAGGAGCACGAAGGUUAGCUAAUCCUGGUCGGACAUCAGGAGGUUAGUGCAAUGGCAUAAGCUAGCUUGACUGCGAGCGUGACGGCGCGAGCAGGUGCGAAAGCAGGUCAUAGUGAUCCGGUGGUUCUGAAUGGAAGGGCCAUCGCUCAACGGAUAAAAGGUACUCCGGGGAUAACAGGCUGAUACCGCCCAAGAGUUCAUAUCGACGGCGGUGUUUGGCACCUCGAUGUCGGCUCAUCACAUCCUGGGGCUGAAGUAGGUCCCAAGGGUAUGGCUGUUCGCCAUUUAAAGUGGUACGCGAGCUGGGUUUAGAACGUCGUGAGACAGUUCGGUCCCUAUCUGCCGUGGGCGCUGGAGAAUUGAGGGGGGCUGCUCCUAGUACGAGAGGACCGGAGUGGACGCAUCACUGGUGUUCGGGUUGUCAUGCCAAUGGCACUGCCCGGUAGCUAAAUGCGGAAGAGAUAAGUGCUGAAAGCAUCUAAGCACGAAACUUGCCCCGAGAUGAGUUCUCCCUGAGACUAUAAGUCUCCUGAAGGAACGUUAAAGACGAUGACGUUGAUAGGCCGGGUGUGUAAGCGCAGCGAUGCGUUGAGCUAACCGGUACUAAUGAACCGUGAGGCUUAACCUU